rnacentral:lncRNA from 1 species
AGCGAGUUUUGAAUAGGAUAACCAGAGAAUAGUUUAAGAGAAACUGAGAUUGAUAAAGUGGUAAUUUAAAACGGUUUAGGGAAGCUAAUCCCACGUAAUCCAUGUCAGCAAGUUCUAAAUGUUUAAUGAUGAGUCAGCAUUUCACUUAAUGGUGUAAAUCAUUGAAUGUCCACAUAUUAUUUGAUAUAUAAACUAAAUCUUUUAAAUAUUACAUUAAAAUUUAUUAACAAAAACUAAUCUUAA